rnacentral:lncRNA from 1 species
GGCUCUGUCUACUUUUCCUAUCCUGAUUCAAAUGGGAUGCCAGUAUGACAACUCCUAUGAUUUGUCAUGAAUGGGAAACCAAGUGCCAUCUUCAAAAUUUCAGGUCUUAAAUCUGGAGGAGGAAGCCAACAUCCUUUUGGAGCCAUGAAUACUGUCCAAACUCCAUCUGUUGCUCAGAUUGGAAUUUCGGUGGAAUCACUGGACAGUAUGGCUCAGCAGACUCCUGUAGGUAAUGCUGCUCUAUCCUCAGUUGACUCAUUCACUCUGUUCACACAAAAGAUGUUGGACAACUUACACAAUUUUGCUUCAUCAUUUGCUGUCUCUCAGGCCCAGAUGACACCAAGCCUAUAUGAAAUGUUCAUUCUGCAAAAUAUGUUUCUGAAAUGGUACGAAAACUUUCAAAGAUGACUAGCACAGAACCCUCUCUUUUGGAAAACA